rnacentral:rRNA from 1 species
AGGACGAACGCUGGCGGCGUGCUUAACACAUGCAAGUCGCACGGACCGCAAGGUCAGUGGCGGACGGGUGCGUAACACGUGAAGAACUUGUCCAUCGGUGGGGGAUAGCCGGCCCAACGGCCGGGUAAUACCGCGUACGUCGGCGAGAACGCAUGUUCUUGCCGGGAAAGCAGCAAUGCGCCGAUGGAGAGCUUCGCGGCCUAUCAGCUUGUUGGUGGGUAAUGGCCUACCGAAGGCAACGUACGGGUAGCUGGUCUGAGUAGGAUGGAUCGAGCCACAGUUGGGGACUGACGACACGGCCCAAGACUCCGUACGGGGAGCCGAGUCGAAGUGGGGUAAUA